rnacentral:lncRNA from 1 species
GAAAAGAGAGAAAAGAGAGAGGGUUCCCGGCCGACGGCGAGGCUCCUUUAGCCACCGUCGGUCCGGUUAUGUUUUUCAAGUUUUUAAACGGGGAUUUAGGUGUUUAGAUCUUUAGUUUGUGGAUCUGUUGGGUUUAGUCUCGGCGGCGCACCUAUCUACGGUGGCCGUCCGAUUUUGUCCCGGGAGGUGAUGGCUUUCUCAGCAUCUUCUUCGCCGGUUUCUGUUUCCGGGAGUCGGUGGCUUCGUCAGCACCGAGAUCGCCGGUUUUGGUUCCGGGAGGCGGUGGCUCUCUUAGCACCGCUAGCGCCGGCUAGUUUCUCGAGUUACCUCACCGCGAUCUACGAAUCCGAGCCUCUCUUGUUCAUCUGGCUCUCGUCUCUGAAUCUGGUUCCGCAUGCAUGUAUGUCGGAGAUGAUGAGCGAUUGUAGCCGGGUUUAUUCUCUAUUAAAAUCGUAGAUCCGGUUAGUUAUGAGUCUCGGUGUGCGUUGGUUGCAUUCGAGUUGUGGUGGAAAGGUGGGUUUGAAUGGUCUCGGCUCAAUUCCGAUGACGGCGCAGUGGUUAGGCGUCGUAUCGCGGAAGCUGGAGCCGCAGGAAGAAGAUAGGGAGGCGCGCGCUUCGCGCGGAUCGAGCGGCGUUGCCCUAGCUAGGGUUUUCGGAAUUUGGGCCUGUUGGGCCAUUAUGGCAGUUGUGUUUUUUAAUGUAUUUGGGCUUUUGUAGUUUUUCUUUGUAUGGUUUGGGCUCUGCCCUUUUGGGUUUUUUACCCCUUUUAAUUAAUAAAUUCAGA